rnacentral:rRNA from 1 species
ACAAUGCGGAACUAUUAGUUUUGCAAUUGGAUUGAGAACAACGUACAAACCUUAUCGAUAAACAAUUGGAGGGCAAGUCUGGUGCCAGCAGCCGCGGUAAUUCCAGCUCCAAUAGCGUAUAUUAACGUUGUUGCAGUUAAAAAGCUCGUAGUUGAAGUGAAGUGAACAAAGAAGAGAAGAAUCUUCGGAUUCGGAUCUAAUGCGUUGACUCUUUCCAAAGUCAAUGUAUGGGUAUUCAUUUAUCUAUAUAUUGUGUUUGGUCGUUUACUGUGAGAAAAUUAGAGUGUUCAAAGCAGACGUUUGUUUGAAUACAUUAGCAUGGAAUAAUCAUAUAAGGCUUUCAUGUGUAUUUGAUUGGUUUGGAUAUGAAAGCAAGGUUAAUAGGGACAGUUGGGGGUAUUCAUAUUCAAUAGUCAGAGGUGAAAUUCUCGGAUUUAUGGAAGAUGAAC